GUCAUGGGAUGCUCCCUUUAAGAGGCAUGAGUUUUUACACUAAAAAGAGAGGGCCUGUGGCAUCCUUAUACCAGAGAGCAGGUAAAUGCUUUUGAUCUGCAUCAAGUAGUGUGUUGUUCUAUAAAAAGCUCUUAUCACCACCAAGUCAAACGGAGAUAUAGGAAUUCUUAAGAAACAUGGCACAAAUGGAGAUGCAAUGGAGGUUGGUAGGACUUGCAAUGAUUUGGCUUUUGCUACUAAACAACUAUUAUAUUGUGGAGGCAUCACACGAGGAGAUGGUUGAAGCAAUGCCUAACAAGGAUUUUGUCGAACCACAACGCAUGCUUCGGGCAUUCGAUUCCAAGAAAACUCUACCAAAACCUUCAAACUCCUAUCGCCGUGGUUGCAAUCCGAAUUCUCAUUGCCGUGGUUAGCAGCAAAUAAUGAAGGCACAUAAAGCCAGAGUGCUUCAUCUAAACUUUAUCGGACUUUUUAUCACUUGGUGUCUUUCAUACUUUUCUUCUGGUAUUGGAUGUAAUUUUUUAUUCUCUUAUGCUUGGCAUCCUAUGCCAUGUUAUGAUUAACAACAAAUGGUAUUAAUGGUGACUCUUUUGAAAAAUACCCCUCC